rnacentral:rRNA from 1 species
GACGAACGCUGGCAGCGCGCUUAACACAUGCAAGUCGAACGGAAAGGCCUGCUUUCCCUUGUGGAUUGCGGGUACUCGAGUGGCGAACGGGUGAGUAACACGUGAGUGAUCUGCCCCCAACUUGGGUAUAAGCCUGGGAAACUGGGUCUAAUUCCCGAUAGGACUGCAGGGUGGUGCCUGUGGUGGAAAACGAUUUUCUAGUGGUUGGGGAUGAGCUCGCGGCCUAUCAGCUUGUUGGUGGGGUAAUGGCCUACCAAGGCGGCGACGGGUAGCCGGCCUGAGAGGGUGGACGGCCACAUUGGGACUGAGAUACGGCCCAGACUCCUACGGGAGGCAGCAGUGGGGAAUAUUGCACAAUGGGCGGAAGCCUGAUGCAGCGACGCCGCGUGGGGGAUGACGGCCUUCGGGUUGUAAACUCCUUUCGACCGCGAGGAAGCCACCUGGUUGGAAGGGUGGUGACGGUAGUGGUAGAAGAAGCACCGGCUAACUACGUG